GGCGGAGGAAGGUUCUGGAAGCCCGGCGGGUGUCGUGGCGGUUGCUGCCGCCGCUGCGGUUAGGCUUUGUGCCUUUCUGGCCUUUUCCUGUUCUCUGUUAAACGCGCCUGAAGUGAUUUUGCACUGACUCUCGAUGUGAUGUUAUGAUUCUCGGUCCAGCCUACAAAGCAAACACCCACUUGUAGAAGCUGAGGCGGCGCUCGGAACCGCAGGGCUGCUCCGCGGCGUGGGAGCACUGCGAGUUACAGCCAGCCUUCCGCAUGGCCGCCUCUUCCGCGCGGCGCAGGGUCAUGACGUCACAACGGGGACGGCUUCCCGCGCGUGCAGUGAGUGAGGGCGCGCUGUUGCCAUGGCAACGCAGCCUACGCGCACGGCCUGAAGCAUUCUCGGUCCAGCCUACAAAGCAAACACCCACUUGUAGAAGCUGAGGCGGCGCUCGGAACCGCAGGGCUGCUCCGCGGCGUGGGAGCACUGCGAGUUACAGCCAGCCUUCCGCAUGGCCGCCUCUUCCGCGCGGCGCAGGGUCAUGACGUCACAACGGGGACGGCUUCCCGCGCGUGCAGUGAGUGAGGGCGCGCUGUUGCCAUGGCAACGCAGCCUACGCGCACGGCCUGAAGCAUUCUCGGUCCAGCCUACAAAGCAAACACCCACUUGUAGAAGCUGAGGCGGCGCUCGGAACCGCAGGGCUGCUCCGCGGCGUGGGAGCACUGCGAGUUACAGCCAGCCUUCCGCAUGGCCGCCUCUUCCGCGCGGCGCAGGGUCAUGACGUCACAACGGGGACGGCUUCCCGCGCGUGCAGUGAGUGAGGGCGCGCUGUUGCCAUGGCAACGCAGCCUACGCGCACGGCCUGAAGCAUUCUCGGUCCAGCCUACAAAGCAAACACCCACUUGUAGAAGCUGAGGCGGCGCUCGGAACCGCAGGGCUGCUCCGCGGCGUGGGAGCACUGCGAGUUACAGCCAGCCUUCCGCAUGGCCGCCUCUUCCGCGCGGCGCAGGGUCAUGACGUCACAACGGGGACGGCUUCCCGCGCGUGCAGUGAGUGAGGGCGCGCUGUUGCCAUGGCAACGCAGCCUACGCGCACGGCCUGAAGCAUUCUCGGUCCAGCCUACAAAGCAAACACCCACUUGUAGAAGCUGAGGCGGCGCUCGGAACCGCAGGGCUGCUCCGCGGCGUGGGAGCACUGCGAGUUACAGCCAGCCUUCCGCAUGGCCGCCUCUUCCGCGCGGCGCAGGGUCAUGACGUCACAACGGGGACGGCUUCCCGCGCGUGCAGUGAGUGAGGGCGCGCUGUUGCCAUGGCAACGCAGCCUACGCGCACGGCCUGAAGCAUUCUCGGUCCAGCCUACAAAGCAAACACCCACUUGUAGAAGCUGAGGCGGCGCUCGGAACCGCAGGGCUGCUCCGCGGCGUGGGAGCACUGCGAGUUACAGCCAGCCUUCCGCAUGGCCGCCUCUUCCGCGCGGCGCAGGGUCAUGACGUCACAACGGGGACGGCUUCCCGCGCGUGCAGUGAGUGAGGGCGCGCUGUUGCCAUGGCAACGCAGCCUACGCGCACGGCCUGAAGCAUUCUCGGUCCAGCCUACAAAGCAAACACCCACUUGUAGAAGCUGAGGCGGCGCUCGGAACCGCAGGGCUGCUCCGCGGCGUGGGAGCACUGCGAGUUACAGCCAGCCUUCCGCAUGGCCGCCUCUUCCGCGCGGCGCAGGGUCAUGACGUCACAACGGGGACGGCUUCCCGCGCGUGCAGUGAGUGAGGGCGCGCUGUUGCCAUGGCAACGCAGCCUACGCGCACGGCCUGAAGCAUUCUCGGUCCAGCCUACAAAGCAAACACCCACUUGUAGAAGCUGAGGCGGCGCUCGGAACCGCAGGGCUGCUCCGCGGCGUGGGAGCACUGCGAGUUACAGCCAGCCUUCCGCAUGGCCGCCUCUUCCGCGCGGCGCAGGGUCAUGACGUCACAACGGGGACGGCUUCCCGCGCGUGCAGUGAGUGAGGGCGCGCUGUUGCCAUGGCAACGCAGCCUACGCGCACGGCCUGAAGCGUGAGUGGGCCUCGAGGGGCAGUGGGGGGCGAAGAAGCUUCAGGGCCAUGAGUUUGACUCCGAGCAGAUUCUUGACCUAACUUGACCUAACUGCUCCCUCUGCAGAAUGUACUUCAGGGAGCUCCUGAACCCUCUGCUGACCGACCAACUGUAUGAGAAGUUCUCACAAAGCGAGUCUGCCUGUGUCAGAGGAAGAGCUGCCUUCAUGGAGGCACAGAUGUGGAAUUCAUCUUGAACCACACAGAUGUCCUCUUCAGCUCCAAAUCCAGCUCAGUCAUCGGAGAUGGAGCAGAAGAACUUCACCCAACGAGAUGAAGAAAUCACCAGCUGGCAGUUGUCAUUCCUGCUUCAGCCUGGGAAAUCCAUCCUCUGUGGCCAAAUGCAAACUGCAGCACAAUUCCAGGAGGCCUCAGAAAUGGAAGUCAUAGUCCUGGCAGGUGAAUCUUACCGGCUCCAACCCAAAAGACCCAGACCCAGUAGCGGUGCUCUCAAGAAGCAUGAAUUGCUGCACU